AUUGAACGCUGGCGGCAUGCCUUACACAUGCAAGUCGAACGGCAGCACGGGUGCUUGCACCUGGUGGCGAGUGGCGAACGGGUGAGUAUUACAUCGGAACAUGUCCUGUAGUGGGGGAUAGCCCGGCGAAAGCCGGAUUAAUACCGCAUACGAUCUACGGAUGAAAGCGGGGGACCUUCGGGCCUCGCGCUAUAGGGUUGGCCGAUGGCUGAUUAGCUAGUUGGUGGGGUAAAGGCCUACCAAGGCGACGAUCAGUAGCUGGUCUGAGAGGACGACCAGCCACACUGGGACUGAGACACGGCCCAGACUCCUACGGGAGGCAGCAGUGGGGAAUUUUGGACAAUGGGCGAAAGCCUGAUCCAGCAAUGCCGCGUGUGUGAAGAAGGCCUUCGGGUUGUAAAGCACUUUUGUCCGGAAAGAAAUCCUUGGCCCUAAUACGGUCGGGGGAUGACGGUACCGGAAGAAUAAGCACCGGCUAACUACGUG
rnacentral:rRNA from 1 species